CUUUUUCCUAGAGGUGUUGCUGAUGUGGCUGCUGUGUCACAUGUUCAUCAGUAGGUGGCAGAGGAGAGCGGUUAUAUCUAUGCUCAGUGUUGUGACCUAUGAACAUCUGAAAAUCAGUAGUCUAACAUU